UGGGGAAUAUUGGACAAUGGGGGCAACCCUGAUCCAGCCAUGCCGCGUGAGUGAUGAAGGCCUUCGGGUUGUAAAGCUCUUUUGGCGGGGACGAUGAUGACGGUACCCGCAGAAUAAGCCCCGGCUAACUUCGUGCCAGCAGCCGCGGUAAGACGAAGGGGGCUAGCGUUGUUCGGAAUUACUGGGCGUAAAGCGAGUGUAGGCGGUUGCCGUAGUCAGGUGUGAAAGCCUUGAGCUCAACUCAAGAAAUGCACUUGAUACUGGGUGACUAGAGGACCGGAGAGGAUAGUGGAAUUCCCAGUGUAGUGGUGAAAUACGUAGAGAUUGGGAAGAACACCAGUGGCGAAGGCGGCUAUCUGGACGGUUACUGACGCUAAGACUCGAAAGCGUGGGGAGCAAACAGGAUUAGAUACCCUGGUAGUCCACGCCGUAAACGAUGGGUGCUAGACGUUGGCGAGCUUGCUCGUCGGUGUCGCAGCUAACGCGUUAAGCACCCCGCC
rnacentral:rRNA from 1 species